GCAGGAGGCCAGCCUUACCUACUUGCUGCUGUGCAGUGAAGAUCCGCCUGCCGUCACAACAGCCGCCUCCGCAGCUGGGGCCCCGAUCCCACCGCCGAUGCCGGGGAUCAGGGGCCCCAUCCUCAGUAUUCACCAAGGAAAAUGAAAUGCCAGGUGAAAUACAGCGAGAUAAGAACCCCAUUGGAAUUUAUUCAACUCUUUAGAAUGAACCAUUCUUUCACCAAUAUUUUAAGGCAGACUGCAUCGUUAGGUCCUUGGUGGCAAUAGGAUUGAAUGAAACAGCUGAAUUCAAUGACAAAGUUGUCUCCCAAUGUUUUUGCCCAUAAUUAUAUGUUGUGACAUUACAGAAGAUUUAUGAAAUAUCAAUUACA